UGGGGAAUAUUGGACAAUGGGGGCAACCCUGAUCCAGCAAUGCCGCGUGUGUGAAGAAGGUCUUCGGAUCGUAAAACUCUGUUGGUAGAGAAGAACGUUGGUGAGAGUGGAAAGCUCAUCAAGUGACGGUAACUACCCAGAAAGGGACGGCUAACUACGUGCCAGCAGCCGCGGUAAUACGUAGGUCCCGAGCGUUGUCCGGAUUUAUUGGGCGUAAAGCGAGCGCAGGUGGUUUAUUAAGUCUGGUGUAAAAGGCAGUGGCUCAACCAUUGUAUGCAUUGGAAACUGGUAGGCUUGAGUGCAGGAGAGGAGAGUGGAAUUCCAUGUGUAGCGGUGAAAUGCGUAGAUAUAUGGAGGAACACCGGUGGCGAAAAGCGGCUCUCUGGCCUGUAACUGACACUGAGGCUCGAAAGCGUGGGGAGCAAAACAGGAUUAGAUACCCUGGUAGUCCACGGCCGUAAAACGAUGAGUGCUAGAUGU
rnacentral:rRNA from 1 species